rnacentral:rRNA from 1 species
CGUAAGGGCAUGUAGGCGGUCUGUUAAGUCUGGUGUGAAAGCCCGGGGCUCAACCCCGGAAGUGCAUCAGAUACUGGCCGACUUGAGUAUGGGAGAGGAAAGUGGAAUUCCGAGUGUAGGAGUGAAAUCCGUAGAUAUUCGGAGGAACACCAGUGGCGAAGGCGGCUUUCUGGACCAAUACUGACGCUGAGAUGCGAAAGCGUGGGGAGCGAACAGGAUUAGAUACCCUGGUAGUCCACGCCGUAAACGAUGGGUACUAGAUGUUGCGGGUAAUCACUCCUGCAGUGUCGCAGCUAACGCAUUAAGUACCCCGCCUGGGGAUUACGGCCGCAAGGCUAAAACUCAAAAGAAUUGACGGGGGCCCGCACAAGCGGUGGAGCAUGUGGUUUAAUUCGACGCAACGCGAAGAACCUUACCUGGGCUUGACAUCCCGAUCGUACUCUAUGGAAAGAUAGAGGUCAGCUUGGCUGGAUCGGUGACAGGUGCUGCAUGGCUGUCGUCAGCUCGUGUCGUGAGAUGUUGGGUUAAGUCCCGCAACGAGCGCAACCCUUGUCCUUAGUUGCCAUCAUUAAGUUGGGCACUCUAGGGAAACUGCCGGUGUUAAACCGGAGGAAGGUGGGGAUGACGUCAAGUCCUCAUGGCCCUUAUGCCCAGGGCUACACACGUGCUACAAUGGCCGGUACAAAGGGCAGCGAUACCGCAAGGUGGAGCAAAUCCCAAAAAGCCGGUCUCAGUUCGGAUUAGAGUCUGCAACUCGACUCCAUGAAGUUGGAAUCGCUAGUAAUCGCGUAUCAGCAUGACGCGGUGAAUACGUU